GGUGGCAACCCUAAGGACCAAAGAGAGACUUCCUCCAUAAUUAUAAAAGGCAUUUGAAUUGAGUUUAAACUCAGAUUAUCAAAUGCUCUCAGCCCUUAAGAACACCAUCAUCUUCAACCUUUGAAUUUUCAUGUAAAAUCUUUGAUUCAUCAUAACUUCUUCAAUUCUCAACGGAAUUGAGCGAUUCUCGCGGCCACGGAACGAGGAAGGGAUCCUCUACUAGAUUAUGGAUUCAAUUUGAGGUGAUGGUGAGCUUAUAUGAAACACUUUGAUGGUGAUUUUGGAUGCUUAAACCUUCCGCAAAGUCAUCAACCAAGACUCGACGAGGCGACUACCAAUGGAACCCGGAACUUACAGAACGCGACAUCGCUUAGCUAUUAUCAAAGAUUAUGGAUAGCAAGCUGUGAGUAUAUUUUACUCACUCUCAUUAUCGUACUAAAAACUA